GCCAGUGUGGUGUAGUGUUUUGAGCAUUACACUUCAACCCUGGAGAUCAGGGUUCAAUUCUCUGCUUGAGCA